AACGAACGCUGGCGGCAGGCUUAACACAUGCAAGUCGAACGCCCCGCAAGGGGAGUGGCAGACGGGUGAGUAACGCGUGGGAACAUACCCUUUCCUGCGGAAUAGCUCCGGGAAACUGGAAUUAAUACCGCAUACGCCCUACGGGGGAAAGAUUUAUCGGGGAAGGAUUGGCCCGCGUUGGAUUAGCUAGUUGGUGGGGUAAAGGCCUACCAAGGCGACGAUCCAUAGCUGGUCUGAGAGGAUGAUCAGCCACAUUGGGACUGAGACACGGCCCAAACUCCUACGGGAGGCAGCAGUGGGGAAUAUUGGACAAUGGGCGCAAGCCUGAUCCAGCCAUGCCGCGUGAGUGAUGAAGGCCUUAGGGUUGUAAAGCUCUUUCACCGAUGAAGAUAAUGACGGUAGUCGGAGAAGAAGCCCCGGCUAACUUCGUGCCAGCCGCCGCGGUAACAC
rnacentral:rRNA from 1 species